rnacentral:rRNA from 1 species
CCUACGGGAGGCAGCAGUGAGGAAUAUUGGUCAAUGGGCGCGAGCCUGAACCAGCCAAGUAGCGUGAAGGAUGACUGCCCUACGGGUUGUAAACUUCUUUUAUAAAGGAAUAAAGUGAGGCAAGUGUGCCUUUUUGUAUGUACUUUAUGAAUAAGGAUCGACUAACUCCGUGCCAGCAGCCGCGGUAAUACGGAGGAGCCGAGCGUUAUCCGGAUUUAUGGGGUUUAAAGGGAGCGUAGGUGGGUUGUUAAGUCAGUUGUGAAAGGUUGCGGCUCAACCGUAAAAUUGCAAUUGAUACUGGGAGUCUUGAGUACAGUAGAGGUAGGCGGAAUUCAUGGUGUAGCAGUGAAAUGCUUAGAUAUCGCGAAGAACACUGAUGGCGAAGGCAGCUUACUAGACUGCAACUGACGUUGAUGCUCGAAAGUGUGGGUAGCAAACAGGAUUAGAUACCCGGGUAGUC